rnacentral:rRNA from 1 species
AAAGCGCACGCAGGCGGUCUGUUAAGUCAGAUGUGAAAUCCCCGGGCUUAACCUGGGAACUGCAUUUGAAACUGGCAGGCUUGAGUCUUGUAGAGGGGGGUAGAAUUCCAGGUGUAGCGGUGAAAUGCGUAGAGAUCUGGAGGAAUACCGGUGGCGAAGGCGGCCCCCUGGACAAAGACUGACGCUCAGGUGCGAAAGCGUGGGGAGCAAACAGGAUUAGAUACCCCUGU